ACCCGCUGAACUUAAGCAUAUUACUAAAGGCAGGACAAGAAAAUAACAAUGAUUCCCCCAGUAACUGCGAGUGAAGUGGGAAGAGCCCAACGUUGAAAGCUGCGACUCUAACGGGUCGUCGCAUUGUAACGUAUAGAUUUGUUCUCAAGGCAGUUGCCUGCAUCAAAGUUACAUAGAAUAGUACACCAGAGAGGGUGGUAGUCCCGUGCGUGAUGCAGGUCACAAAACUGUCAAGUAGACAAACUCUAAGAGUCGAGUUGUUUGGGAAUGCAGCUCAAAUCGGGUGGUAAACUCCAUCUAAGGCUAAAUACAGACACGAGACCGAUAGCGAACAAGUACCGUGAGGGAAAGUUGAAAAGUACCCUGAAAAGAGAGUGAAAAGUACGUGAAACCGUUAAUGGGGAAGCAGACAGUGGAAUCGAAGCUAUGUCCGUAUUGUGCAGUGUGGUCGCGAUCGUUUUGGUGUUGCUAUUACAUCCUUCUCAUUGUAUGUAUUACGGUGCAUAGCGCGCUGGGCCCAUCGUUUACACAAACAGCGCUGAAAUUGAUUGCGCAGGUCGGCCUGUAGUGCAGCUGCAUGCAAGUGUUGACAGCCUUAAAAACUGUUGAUCGUUGUGUAGUGCAUUAUCGAGGUUGUAGGACCAACAGAGACGAUGUGGUGGACAUUUGUGCGGUGCCAGUAAUGGGUGCAUGUUGAUGCACUUUGAGAGCAACAGUGCAAACUGGGCUAUGUGUAUGGUUGCAUUGAUUUGCAUAUUGGAUUCUACAGUGGCGACACUGAGGCCAGUGUGUAAAGGUGUGACUACACCUAGCUGCGAACAUUGUGCGUGAGGAUGUUACCAAUUGCACGCGUGUCGGUAGUGUGCAUAUCCCAGCGAGAUAUGGUACUGUCUGACCCGUCUUGAAACACGGACCAAGGAGGCUAACGUAUGCGCAAGUCGAGGAGUGGUGAAACUCUCAGGCGAAACGAAAGUGAAAAGUGAGAUCCCCCUGAAGGUGUGAGUAGUCUCCUCGUAAGAGAUGAAAAAUAGAGGGGGCGCAUCACUGGCCAGUCUACGUCGGUGACAACGGCAUUUAUGAUUGAGCUGGAGCGUAUGCGAUAGGACCCGAAAGAUGGUGAACUAUGCCUGGGUAGGGCAAAGCCAGAGGAAACUCUGGUGGAGGCUCGAAGCGGUUCUGACGUGCAAAUCGAUCGUCAAACCUUGGGUAUAGGGGCGAAAGACUAAUCGAACCAUCUAGUAGCUGGUUCCCUCCGAAAUAUCCCUCAGGAUCGCCGGAGCCCGAGCCAUUAGCAGUUUCAUCAGGUAGAGCGAAUGAUUAGAGGAAUUGGGGUCAUAACAGGCUUCGACCUAUUCUCAAACUGCCAACUGGUAAGGUUGGUGGACACGUUGCUUAAUUGAACGAGUUCACAUGAAACGAAUGCUAGGGUUCCGAGUGGGCCAUUUUUGGUAAGCAGAACUGGCGAUGCGGGAUGAACCGAAAGCUGAGUUAAGGUGCCCAAGUGGACGCCGACGGACACCAUGAAAGGAGUUGGUCGAUAAAGACAGCAGGACGGUGGCCCUGAAAGUAGGAAUCCGCUAAGGAGUGUCUAACAACUCACCUGCCGAAUCGACUGGCCCUGAAAAUGAAUGGCGCUAAAGCGUUCCACCGAUACUCGGCCGUUGACUCGAGAAAUGUGCACAGUCAACGGGUAGGAGGGUGUCACGGUUGCUGCGAAGUGUGUGGCGUGAGCCAGCAUGGAGCCUCCGUGAGUAUAGAUCUUGGUAGUAGUAGCAGCUUAUUAAAAUGGAAACUUUUAAGGCCGAAGUGGAGAAGGGUUCCGCGUGAACAGCAGUUGGACGCGGGUUAGUCGGUCCUAAGUGGCAGCUCUCACGCUGAGUAAAAGGAGACGUAACUGCAUUAGUGUGUCAACACACGGUGUGCCGUCUCAGUCCACGAAAGGGAAUCAGGUUAAUAAUCCUGAACCACAUUACGGAUAGUUUGUAGAGUGUGCUAAUGUGUGCGGGAGUAUGGUGUUUAUCAUUCUAACUUCUCACAUGUGUGUGUGCUCUGUGAACAAAGCGGUAACGCAAACGAACUCGCAGACAUCAAAGGCGGUCCUGGGAAGAGUUAUCUUUCUGCUUAACCGACUGAACCCCUGGAGUGGAGUUGUUCGGAGAUAGGGGCUAGAGUCGGGAAGAGCGUUGCAUUUGUUGCGACGUCCGGUGUGCUGUCUAUGGUCCUUGAAAAUGCGAGGGAGUGAUUGAUUUGUCGAGUGUGGCCGUACCGAGAUCCGCAUCAGGUCUCCAAGGUGAAUAGCCUCUGGCACUAGGAGAAUGUGGGUAAGGGAAGUCGGCAAAAUAGAUUCGUAACUUCGGGAAAAGGAUUGGCUCUAAGGAUUGGGUUCUUCGGGCUGAUGUAGUGUAUCUUCUGGUGGACGCGUUGACGUUGUCUUGGUGCUGAUUUGCAGACUAUUAUGUGUCUGUUAUGUGUUGCCCCUCGCAAGAGUGUGGUGAUGUGG
rnacentral:rRNA from 1 species